UCCCAUGACCUGCGAAACCCUCCCCCCGUUCUCUUCCAUUGAACCCUAUUCUCUCAUUCAUUUCAGUCAAUUACUCCAACAAGAAAAAAUCCAAUAACAUACACUAUUAGAAGUCCAAGGAAGUUCUAUUAAUUUCAAUCCAAGGAAAUUCUAUUAAUGUUAGUCCAUGGCUUCUUUGUGACAAGGAAAUUCUGAAAAUUUUUCCAACCAUUAAUGGUGGUCGAACUUUAGCUUAAACUUUUCCAACCAUUAAAGCUUAGCUGAAACUUUAGCUGACUUCUGGCGAUAGUAGUUAAUGGUGAUCGAACUUUUACAGAAGUGAAAUAAAAAAUGAGUUGGAUCUGGGUUCAAAAAUUUUGAUUCAUUUUCAGCGGAAAAGAUGGAGUUUUGGGUGUGUUUUCUAGUUAUAUUUGUUAGUUAAUGGUGGCUUUGUUAUUAAGUAAAAGAUGGAGGAAGAGGUUAUGGUGUUUGGUGGUGAGAGAGGAGGAAGAUAGCCAUGGUAGUUUAGAUGAGGAAGAUGAAGGGAAUAAUUAUAAUUUUAAUUAUUUUAUUUUUUAAAUGACAUGUGUCACUGUUUGAUUGGUGCGUGACCUCACACAUUUCUGGAAAGCUGGUAUAGAAAAAAGUGGUGUAUAAUUGAUACACUUUUGAAAGGUUUGGUAUGUAAAAUUAAAUCCGUGUACUUAAGGUGUGUAAGAGGGAUUUCAUCCAAAGUUCGAUGGGUAGAUUAUAUCCAGGUUCUACACAGGCUAAGUGAGACUUGAUCAGCUGAGCAGGAUCAUUUCCGGGAGUAUCGAGGUAGCUGCACGGCAUUCGCAGCCUAGAUUUCUCCCCUCUAUCUUUAUCUCUAUUUCAUAUUCUCUAUCUAGACAGACUGUAGUAGUUGAAAAUUCUGUAAUAGAGGCUUGGAUUCGUGACACAUGUUCCUUGUGGUCUAUGUUGUAUUAUUUUGGUUAAACUUCCGCAGAUUAUAGCAGUAUUCCUAGAUUUAUGGA